rnacentral:rRNA from 1 species
GAUGAACGCUGGCGGCGUGCUUAACACAUGCAAGUCGAACGGAAAGGCCCAAGCUUGCUUGGGUACUCGAGUGGCGAACGGGUGAGUAACACGUGGGUGAUCUGCCCUGCACUUCGGGAUAAGCCUGGGAAACUGGGUCUAAUACCGGAUAGGACCACUUCUUGGAUGUUGUGGUGGAAAGUUUUUUCGGUGUGGGAUGAGCUCGCGGCCUAUCAGCUUGUUGGUGGGGUAAUGGCCUACCAAGGCGUCGACGGGUAGCCGGCCUGAGAGGGUGUACGGCCACAUUGGGACUGAGAUACGGCCCAGACGCCUACGGGAGGCAGCAGUGGGGAAGAUUGCACAAUGGGCGCAAGCCUGAUGCAGCGACGCCGCGUGGGGGAUGACGGCCUUCGGGUUGUAAACGCCGUUCGCUAGGGACGAAGCGUUUUGUGACGGUACCUGGAGAAGAAGCACCGGCUAACUACGUG